GAUGAACGCUGGCGGCGUGCCUAAUACAUGCAAGUCGAGCGAACGGACGAGAAGCUUGCUUUUCUGAUGUUAGCGGCGGACGGGUGAGUAACACGUGGAUAACCUACCUAUAAGACUGGGAUAACUUCGGGAAACCGGAGCUAAUACCGGAUAAUAUUUUGAACCGCAUGGUUCAAAAGUGAAAGACGGUCUAGCUGUCACUUAUAGAUGGAUCCGCGCUGCAUUAGCUAGUUGGUAAGGUAACGGCUUACCAAGGCAACGAUGCAUAGCCGACCUGAGAGGGUGAUCGGCCACACUGGAACUGAGACACGGUCCAGACUCCUACGGGAGGCAGCAGUAGGGAAUCUUCCGCAAUGGGCGAAAGCCUGACGGAGCAACGCCGCGUGAGUGAUGAAGGUCUUCGGAUCGUAAAACUCUGUUAUUAGGGAAGAACAUAUGUGUAAGUAACUGUGCACAUCUUGACGGUACCUAAUCAGAAAGCCACGGCUAACUACGUG
rnacentral:rRNA from 1 species